GGAUUAGUGGCGAACGGGUGAGUAACACGUGGGCAAUCUGCCCUGCACUCUGGGACAAGCCCUGGAAACGGGGUCUAAUACCGGAUAUGACUGUCCGCCGCAUGGUGGAUGGUGUAAAGCUCCGGCGGUGCAGGAUGAGCCCGCGGCCUAUCAGCUUGUUGGUGAGGUAGUGGCUCACCAAGGCGACGACGGGUAGCCGGCCUGAGAGGGCGACCGGCCACACUGGGACUGAGACACGGCCCAGACUCCUACGGGAGGCAGCAGUGGGGAAUAUUGCACAAUGGGCGAAAGCCUGAUGCAGCGACGCCGCGUGAGGGAUGACGGCCUUCGGGUUGUAAACCUCUUUCAGCAGGGAAGAAGCGAGAGUGACGGUACCUGCAGAAGAAGCGCCGGCUAACUACGUGCCAGCAGCCGCGGUAAUACGUAGGGCGCAAGCGUUGUCCGGAAUUAUUGGGCGUAAAGAGCUCGUAGGCGGCUUGUCACGUCGGUUGUG
rnacentral:rRNA from 1 species